rnacentral:rRNA from 1 species
UACGUAGGGCGCAAGCGUUGUCCGGAAUUAUUGGGCGUAAAGAGCUCGUGGGCGGUUCGUCGCGUCGGCUGUGAAAUCCCGAGGCUCAACCUCGGGUCUGCAGUCGAUACGGGCGGACUGGAGUUCGGCAGGGGAGACUGGAAUUCCUGGUGUAGCGGUGAAAUGCGCAGAUAUCAGGAGGAACACCGGUGGCGAAGGCGGGUCUCUGGGCCGAUACUGACGCUGAGGAGCGAAAGCGUGGGGAGCGAACAGG